CUUGGUGCUCUGUGCUCAGUUGGACCCACACCAAUCCAUCCCGAACUUGGUAGUGAAAUAGCUGAGGGAGCCGAAAAACUUGACGGGGAGCUGUCUGGGAAAUCGGUUCUAGUGCCAGGGG
rnacentral:rRNA from 1 species